AUGAAUCACUGGAAGGCUUCCCAUGGUUGUGUCUUCACAGUGUCUGACACAUUGUUGGGGCUUCAUAACUACCAGUUGAUGAUGAUAAUAAGGACAAAUUUAUGCAGCACCUACUAUGGGCAAGACACUGUUUCAGGUGACCUAAGUGUGUUGCCUCAUCCCACCAUAGGAGGUAGGAGUUCCCACGAGGAAUGAAAAGAAAAUAACAGAUAGGAGCCACACAGAAUGAGGAGGCAUGAGGAAACUCCCAUGAGAAAUGAAGAGGAGAUAACAGAGGAGAGUCACACAGGAUGAGGAGGAUUGUAACCUGUACCUUUGAACAAAGUAAUCAUGCUGAGAAGGUCACAGAUCCAUUGAGGUAUUAAUCUAGAUAUAUAAUUGUGAGAUAGAACCAGGUGGGUGAGACAAGGCAUCUAUUCUCAAUCAAUGCUAUUAAUUUCAACAAAUAUGUAUUAAGCACCUAUUAUGCAUCAAGCAUUGUGC
rnacentral:lncRNA from 1 species